GACAGAGGGGGCAAGCGUUGCUCGGAAUCACUGGGCGUAAAGGGCGCGUAGGCGGGAUGGCAAGUCAGUCGUGAAAUCUCUCGGCUCAACCGAGAAACGUCGGCUGAUACUGCCGUUCUUGAGGGAUGCAGAGGAGACUGGAAUUCCCGGUGUAGCGGUGAAAUGUGUAGAGAUCGGGAGGAACACCGGUGGCGAAGGAGGGUCUCUGGGCAUCUCCUGACGCUGAGGCGCGAAAGCGUGGGGAGCAAACGGG
rnacentral:rRNA from 1 species